rnacentral:rRNA from 1 species
UACGGAGGGAGCUAGCGUUGUUCGGAAUUACUGGGCGUAAAGCGCACGUAGGCGGCUACUCAAGUCAGAGGUGAAAGCCCAGGGCUCAACCCUGGAACUGCCUUUGAAACUAGGUAGCUAGAAUCUUGGAGGGGUCAGUGGAAUUCCGAGUGUAGAGGUGAAAUUCGUAGAUAUUCGGAAGAACACCAGUGGCGAAGGCGACUGACUGGACAAGUAUUGACGCUGAGGUGCGAAAGCGUGGGGAGCAAACAGG